GACAGAGGCCCCAAGCGUUAGGCGGAAUCACUGGGCUUAAAGCGUGUGUAGGCGGACGCCUAAGUGUCUUGUGAAAUCCCACGGCUCACCCGUGGAACUGCUGGGCAUACUGGGCGUCUUGGGCCAACUAGGGGCAGCCGGAACAAGCGGUGGAGCGGUGAAAUGCGUAGAUAUCGCUGGAACGCCGAAGGUGAAAACAGGCUGCUGGGGUGCGCCGACGCGUGAGACACGAAAGCCAGGGGAGCAAAACGGG
rnacentral:rRNA from 1 species